UUAUCUUGUUUUUCAGAAGAUAAGGAAGACCAAGGAAAUUAUUUGCUCAGGAUGAGGAAUGAAGAUGGCCAUCUUGAGCUCAAACAAAGACAGAAGUCCUCUGAUGAUCUCAUCAGCCAAAUGAGGGGUUUUGACCAAGUGAUGCUCUUGAAAGGAGUGAAAGAAGAGGAUGUGGUAAAUUGUCUUCAGAGAAAAAGCUUCUCAAAAGGUCUUAAAACAGCUUGAAGAAUGGACUGAGAGAUCAUCUGGCUGAGAAAAGGCUACACCACAUCAGUGCUGGAUAUCAACCACAAACUGUUUCCAGACACGAGAGAAGAAGAUCACGAUGGGGAGAUGAAACCAGUUUAGAUGUGAUGAUAAGGAAUCAUUAUUUUCUGAAACAGUAUCACAUGUCUUAUAAGUAUCACAUGAUCUGUAUCACAGUUGACUGGAUGGAAUCUUUUUACUUUUAAGGACA